rnacentral:rRNA from 1 species
GACGAACGCUGGCGGCGUGCUUAACACAUGCAAGUCGAACGGAAAGGCCCUGCUUUUGUGGGGUGCUCGAGUGGCGAACGGGUGAGUAACACGUGAGUAACCUGCCCUUGACUUUGGGAUAACUUCAGGAAACUGGGGCUAAUGCCGGAUAGGAGCUCCUGCUGCCUGGUGGGGGUUGGAAAGUUUCGGCGGUUGGGGAUGGACUCGCGGCUUAUCAGCUUGUUGGUGGGGUAGUGGCUUACCAAGGCUUUGACGGGUAGCCGGCCUGAGAGGGUGACCGGCCACAUUGGGACUGAGAUACGGCCCAGACUCCUACGGGAGGCAGCAGUGGGGAAUAUUGCACAAUGGGCGGAAGCCUGAUGCAGCAACGCCGCGUGCGGGAUGACGGCCUUCGGGUUGUAAACCGCUGUCGCCUGUGACGAAGCGUGAGUGACGGUAAUGGGUAAAGAAGCACCGGCUAACUACGUG